CCGUGCUAAGCGGGGCGCUAGGGGUGCCCUGUACCCGAAAUCCUCUUAUGCGGGGCCUAAUCCCCCGUCCGAGGAUGAACGCCUUUCGGGCAGCACCGGGAAACGUCGACGAUGAAGGCCGGGUCCUGCGCAGCGGGGCCCCGUGAACCGGGUCAGGUCCGGAAGGAAGCAGCCCUAAGCGAGCAGCCUCGGGUGCCGCAGGAGCGCCGGGCUGGAGUCGACGGCCCGGAACGCGCCGGCGGGCCGACAUUCAAGGACGGGGUGCACG
rnacentral:SRP_RNA from 1 species